ensembl:lncRNA
CAAAAUAACAGUGUUGUAAAUAGAGUUGUAUUAAUAUAGACAUUUCACACCAUCUAGUAACAUAUUUUUUCUUCAUACAUGAAGAAAACCUACAAAUACAAAAUAAAUGCAGAAAGCAGAAGUGGGCUAAUGUAAAAAAAAAACUCUGUGUAAACAUCUUGCUACAGGCCUGUGAGCAGCCGCGAGCGUGCGCUCAGCAUCACGGGUGAUCAGUCGCGUCUGCGCGCUGCGUCUGCGGAGGCACAGGGGCUGCGUGUGACGCAACCAGGCGGCGACCAAUCAGGUGGUCGAUCCGCGCAGUAAAGUUGCGCAGUUACAGCGAGGGGAGCGCAGCCAUGAUUUUUACAGCCCUCAGUGUUAUCAAACCGCGCUGGACAGAGCAGAAAACCAUCCCAUAAUCCUCCUGAGCAGCGCAGGGUUCGCCCUCACUGCCGGGGGGUGAGCGUCACUCUUUAGGGGGAGUGUCGGGGAGUGAGAGGCCGCCUGCCGGAGCGCAGCUCUCACCCCGCGCUGCCUGCCGCUGAGCUGCGCGCAGGACACUGCUGUAACCGCGUCGUUUGAGCCGCUGUGUGUUGAUGAUGAUGAUGGACGCCUCGCUGAAAGUCGAGCCGUCUGGAGGUGCUGUGCUGUCCUGCGAUGCCCCUCCAGCUGCAAGCACGUCUUCAGUCCUCACAGCAGCUCAUCAGGUCGAGCAAGCAAAGGAGCCCACUCCUGUCUUACUCUACCCCAUCAGCAUAAACAGUGAUGUGUCUCUUUCACCUGUAUUUAGAGACAAGGGCUCCCAUGUUGGUGGGAGAGAAGAAGUGAGGAAGGCCGGUGGGGCUCGAGGCUACACUGAGGCUGUCUCCACCUCGUCUGAAUUUACCCAUCAUGCUAUUGUGCACCUCAUUGAAGCUAUGCAUCGCUGCUGGGAUGUGUACGGCUCUCGAGAGCGCUCCCGACUCUUCCAGAGUGUCCAGAGUGAGCUGGAGAUGCUUGGUCACUCGCUGCCUGUGGAGAAAAUCAGGCGAAAAUGGAACAACCUUAUUGUCACAUACAAGAGAGUAAAAGAGCGCAGCAGGCUGGGAGGAGGCCGAGCCAAGACGUCAUGGGAGUACUUUGAGCUGAUGGACAAAGUCCUAGGAAAAACAAAGAUUGACCAGAGAGGUCCUGCUUCAGCUACUCUAGUCGGCUUCGCCACCACAGCCAAAGCAGCCGUAAGGUCAGAGGAGCGCCAGUCCCAUUCUAGUGUGUCAGUAGCGGCUGUGGCCACCCCAUGUCUGCUCCCCAAUGGCCUUUUCACCUCACCACCCCAGAUUCCCACACUGGUGACCUCCCCGCUACUGUGUAAUGUUCCUCCUCCAAAAACAAACCCAGUCCUACCCCUAAACCCAAAGCCAAGCCCCAGUCCCACUCGCAGCUCUGACAGCUCCAUGCCCUCCAUUUCCCCCAAGCCUACCUCCAGGGUUGUGCGGCAGCCUCUUAAGCGGAGAUUACGACAUCUUCAGCUCAGCUCAGUAGCCUCUCGUCUUGCCCAGCAGCAGCAGGGCCAAGCUGGGGAGCGCACCGCUCUUCUCCGCAGCUUCUUGACCAGUCAGGAGGAGAGGACUUUGUUGGAGGAUCAGCGGCAGCGUAAGAAAGAUGCACGGGAGAAACGCCAGGAAAAAACAAUAAACAACAUGGCUGAAGCACUGGGAAGAAUGGCAACAGCCCUGGAAUUGAUCUCCUCCAAACAAGACACUAUCAUUGCCCUGCUCCAGAGACUGGCUGAUAAGCACUAGCUAACUAACGUGACAAAAUUAUCAUAUAAAUAACUUUAAAAAAAAUCUAUUUACUGAUUAAUUUAGUUUGAGUCAGUGCAGAUUGCUUCUGUAUUAUUAAUUUCAACAUUUAAUGGUUUGUAAGGCUACGUUCACAAUUACUAUGCUAAAGCAACUCAAAUCCUUAAUGCUCAAUGUGGCUCAGAUUAGAUUUUUUCAUGGUUGUGUAAACAUGCCAAAUCUGAUUUUUUAAAUUUUAAAUUUAAAUCACUUUCAUAUGUAGUCCUAAAUUUCAUACAUAUUCGAUCCAUGGACGUGCGACGUGAAUGUGAAUGGUCAAAUCAAAAUUCAUGCGUCUUUUAGCUUUUAUGCAUGCGCUACGUGUUUCUCUCUCUUACCCACACAUCUCUUGGUGCAGUUAAAGCUGCAAAAACAGCAAAAGCAAACUGCCUGGCCUUUUUUCACCUCCUCGACCCGAGCAUGUACUUUCUAUAAUGAACCACGCCUAUGCGAUGCAGGGGAGGGUGCACCUGUCAUUAUGUUGCUUGGGGUACAGUUCAGAACAGCUCGAGAAGGUUCUCAAGCCAAGUCCCCACCGCAGCUAGGUGAGUGAUGAAGAUGAGGGUAGUGAUGGGGUGGAGGCGGGUGCGAGGUCGAAAGUCACGAAGGUGAGGAGCACCUGGGAGGUAUAUAUAGGACUAGGAAAGGGGGCUUGGAAAAUUGAGGCGUAGUCCAUAUCCCAAAAUUGUAUUAAUUCUUAACAACACUUCAGACGAGCUGUUUGCUCUCCACUCGAGCGAAAAUGCGCCACAUAUUAGCUGCUAACGCAUGCAUUUCACUUUAUAAAGCUAUGAGUCGUCUCUCAAAUAUGAUGUUUUUUUGUUGCUGUUAAAGAAGGCGACAUUUUUACACGUAUCAAUGUGCACGUGAGGCGUUUCAGGGACAGAUUCGUUCACAAUACACACAGAUACAGGUCACUUACAUUUGUGAAUGUGAACCGUCAAGAUCGGAUUUGAGCAAU